AUCGCUUCUCGGCCUUUAGGCUAAGAUCAAGUGUAGUAUCAGUAGGCUGAUACUCUACCUGCAACAGCCAGCAUCCUAUAUGGGUGCCAGUUGUAGUCCUGCUUCUAUCUACUUUUCAUCCAGCUCCUUGUUUGUGGCCUGGGAAAGCAGCAAAGGAUGGCCUAAAGCCUUGGGCCUUGCACCCACA